AGUGAUCUUGCAUAGUGGCAAUUGUUUUUGGGGUUCUUUUUUUUUUUUUACAUUUUUUAAGGGUUUUUUUUUUUUUUUAUUAGAACCAUUAACCCUUUCCUUCCCCACUAUUUUGCUGCAAUUGUUACCAUGCAGCGGUAUACGGCUGAGGAGGCAUGUUCCAAAUGUGGCCCUUUUGGCCCCAAACAAUCUGACAAACCCAUGCAUGUGGGGUAUCAAUGUACUCAGGAGAUCAAAAACAAUUACUAUCACAAACUUUGACAAGGGUUGGUGGUAGGAUUAGUGCAUGGAAAGGGUUAAACUAUCAGCAUCUAAAACACCCUGGGGUGUCUAGUUUUCAAAAAUAUAUGGUUUGGUGGGGUAAAUUUAAUUUGCUGGCUUCAAAGAUGCCCCAAAUACCACAUGGAGACAGAAUUACCAGAUUCAGAGAAAAAUGGUUUUGAAUUAGCAAAACGCUACUUGUACUUAUUGCCCCAUAACG